rfam:Schistosoma mansoni strain Puerto Rico chromosome 2, complete genome
AUCCAGCCGACGAGUCCCAAAUAGGACGAAACGCUCUUUGUCAUGAAU